AUGGGAAAUUCCAUAGUGUACAGUUCUGCCAGGGGACUGUGGCCUCUACUUCAGCCCUCUUCACAGGACCCUGGCUUCAGCCUUUCCCACUCUGCAUCUCCAGCUGAUGCCCUCACAUCUGCUUUCACCUUGCUCAAAUUUGCAGGUAUGGCCUCUCCCACUUUCUUCACCAUUGUUGAUUUACAGUUCAGUCUUUUUUUGAACAUGUUGCUGAAUGACUUUUUAAAAUGUUUAUUUAUUUUUGAGAGAGAGAGAACGAGCAAGCAGGGGAAGGGUAGAGAGAGUGGGAGACAGAAGAUCUGAAGCAGACUCUGUGCUGACAGCAGCCAGCCUAAUGUGGGACUCAAAUUCAUGAACCAUAAGAUCAUGACCUGAGCCAAAGGCAGACACUCAACCAACUGAGCCACCCAGGCGCCCCUGAGCUGACCUUCUUAACCAACCAUCUGUGUACAUGUUUUUUAUGUGGUUGUAACAUUUUGUGUAAAUACUACUUUGGGUCCUGUUUUCACUUUACCUGAUAUAUAUAUACAUUUUCUAAGUAGGCUCCAUGCCCAAUGUGGGGCUUAAACUCAUGACCCCUGAGAUCAAGAGUUGCAUGCUCCGCCGGCUGAGUAGCCAGUCAGUGAUAAAUAUGUUUCAUAUUGCUAUACAUCCAGGUCUGAUUACAGUCAACCUAACUGGGCAACAAAGUUAAAUCAACAGAGUCUUUGACAUAUUCAGUAUUUUUUUUUUUUUUUUUUAAGAGAGCUUGAGUAGGGGAGAGGUGCAGAAGGAGAGAGAGAAUCUUAAGCAGACUCCACACUCAGCGCUGAGCCCAAUGCGGGGGGUCAAUCCUACAAUCCUGGGAUCAUGGCCUGGGAUCUUGAGCUGAAAUCAAGAGUCAGACACUCAACCAAGUGAGCCACCCAGGUGCCCCCAGAGUCUACUUUUAAUUCUAAUAAAAACCAUUUCAGAAGACUUCCCAUCCUUAGACCUCCUCCAGUUCAUGUUAACUGCUGGUUUACAUUGAUCAUUGCUGGUUACAUAUUUCAUCACUCAGUACCAACUUCACCAUGCAAUGAUUUCAUUUUAGACAGUGUUUGGGGCUUUACAUCAAGAAUAUCUUCCAAUCCAUUAUUUCUAGGAAUGUGUUACAGGGACAAUGUCUGAGUAAGUUUGGAUGGUUGUUUUCACUAAAAAGAUUAUUUGGUGGGUAUACUUACAUUUUGAAUUUCCUAACUCCUACUAAGAGCUCUGACUGAAAAUUUUAAAUCAGUGAUCAUGUUCACAGUUUCUCAUCUAAAUGCAGAAGUAAACACAUUUUAAUGUACAUACAAAUUACUUGUGCUACGUUUGGGAAUUGUAGGCUCCUGGGUUUUACUGCCAGAGGUUCUGAUUUAGUAGAUCAAGGUAAGCUUGGUAAUAUGCAGUUUCAAUGAACACUCCAAGCAAAUCUGAUAUAUGUGGUCA
rnacentral:lncRNA from 1 species